AUUGAACGCUGGCGGCAGGCCUAACACAUGCAAGUCGAACGAGUGGCGGACGGGUGAGUAAUGUAUGGGCAACUGCCUGAAGGCGGGGGAUAACUACUGGAAACGGUAGCUAAUACCGCAUAACAUCAGAUGUGCCAGGAUGGGAUUAGCUUGUUGGUGGGGUAACGGCUCACCAAGGCGACGAGCCCUAGCUGGUCUGAGAGGAUGAAGAGCCACACUGGAACUGAGACACGGUCCAGACUCCUACGGUAGGCAGCAGUGGGGAAUAUUGCACAAUGGGCGCAAGCCUGAGGCAGCCAUGCCGCGUGUAUGAAGAAGGCCUUCGGGUUGUAAAGUACUUUCAGCGGGGAGGCGUUACCCGCAGAAGAAGCACCGGCUAACUCCGUGCCAGCAGCCGCGGUAAUAC
rnacentral:rRNA from 1 species